GACGAACGCUGGCGGCGUGCCUAAUACAUGCAAGUCGAGCGAAGCGGCGGAUGGGGGAGUAACGCGUGGGUAACCUGCACUUAAGUCUGGAAUACCAUUUGGAAACAGCUGCCAAUACAGGAUACUAAAGUAUGGACUUGCGAGGCAUUAGCUAGUUGGUAAGGUAACGGCUUACCAAGGCGAUGAUGCAUAGCCGGGCUGAGAGGCUGAUCGGCCACAUUGGGACUGAGACACGGCCCAAACUCCUACGGGAGGCAGCAGUAGGGAAUCUUCCACAAUGGACGAAAGUCUGAUGGAGCAACGCCGCGUGAGUGAAGAAGGUUUUCGGAUCGUAAAGCUCUGUUGUUGGUGAAGCGGUAAUCAACCAGAAAGUCACGGCUAACUACGUGCCAGCAGCCGCGGUAAUAC
rnacentral:rRNA from 1 species